rnacentral:rRNA from 1 species
GUUAAGCGACUAAGCGUACACGGUGGAUGCCCUGGCAGUCAGAGGCGAUGAAGGACGUGCUAAUCUGCGAUAAGCGUCGGUAAGGUGAUAUGAACCGUUAUAACCGGCGAUUUCCGAAUGGGGAAACCCAGUGUGUUUCGACACACUAUCAUUAACUGAAUCCAUAGGUUAAUGAGGCGAACCGGGGGAACUGAAACAUCUAAGUACCCUGAGGAAAAGAAAUCAACCGAGAUUCCCCCAGUAGCGGCGAGCGAACGGGGAGCAGCCCAGAGCCUGAAUCAGUGUGUGUGUUAGUGGAAGCGUCUGGAAAGGCGCGCGAUACAGGGUGACAGCCCCGUACACAAAAAUGCACAUGCUGUGAGCUCGAUGAGUAGGGCGGGACACGUGGUAUCCUGUCUGAAUAUGGGGGGACCAUCCUCCAAGGCUAAAUACUCCUAACUGACCGAUAGUGAACCAGUACCGUGAGGGAAAGGCGAAAAGAACCCCUGUGAGGGGAGUGAAAUAGAACCUGAAACCGUAUACGUACAAGCAGUGGGAGCAGACUUGUUCUGUGACUGCGUACCUUUUGUAUAAUGGGUCAGCGACUUGGUCUUACGAGCAAGCUUAAACCGAUAGGUGUAUGCGCAGCGAAAGCGAGUCUUAAUAGGGCGACAUGU